rnacentral:rRNA from 1 species
AACGAACGCUGGCGGCGUGCCUAACACAUGCAAGUCGAGCGCGAAAGUUCCUUCGGGAGCGUGUAGAGCGGCGGACGGGUGAGUAAUACAUAGGUAAUCUACCCUCGAGCUUGGGAUAACCCCGCGAAAGUGGGGCUAAUACCGGCUAAGACCACGUAAUUAUUUUACGGGGUAAAAGGUGGCUUAUUUUUUAAAUGAGCUAUCAAUUGAUGAUGAGCCUGUGGCAUAUCAGCUAGUUGGCGGGGUAAGAGCCCACCAAGGCUAUGACGGGUAGCUGGUCUGAGAGGACGACCAGCCACACUGGGACUGAGACACGGCCCAGACUCCUACGGGAGGCAGCAGUGGGGAAUAUUGGGCAAUGGGCGAAAGCCUGACCCAGCGACGCCGCGUGGGCGAUGAAGGCCUUCGGGUUGUAAAGCCCUGUCAUGCGGAAAGAACGACCCUGAGACGCAUACUCUCAGGGAGUGGCGGUACCGCGGGAGGAAGCACCGGCUAACUCCGUGCCAGCCGCCGCGGUAA